rnacentral:lncRNA from 10 species
UGAUCCUCCCGCCUUGGCCUCCUAAAGCACUGGGAUUAGAGGCAUGAGCCAUCAAGCCUAGCCUGAUGAUUUUCUACUUUAUUUCAAAAGUAAGCAAGUGUUUUGUCAAAGCAACAUUUCCUCAAAGGUUUGCAAUGAAAGAUUUUACCUGUUGGUAUUGCCUGAUUCCACAAUUGUCUAUUUUGCUUUGGCAAAACCCAAUAGAAUAGAUUGUAUUGCCAUGAAGAAUUUCUACAAGCAAGUACUUAAGAUUGUGCAAGACAAAUUCUUAGGAAAUCAAUUUGAACAGAAUUUGAACAGAGUCUGAGAGAAAGAUGGGUAGCCUCAGUUUUGUAUGCCACUUCCACCUCAAACAGCCUGAACACAUUUCUCAGGCUGCUGUCCAAAUGAUAUGUGACCUGCAGUGUGGAAGAAAUGACUCGAAGGUAAUGGUCCUUAUUCAAGUGGAAGCUGAAGGUCCUACUCUUUUCACUGGAUCUCCUUAUUUUUUCUCUUACCAAGGAACAGGAACAUUCUCAAAUUUCAUUAUGAUCCUCAUGAUCUGCAACUGGAGCAAGUCUCUUGGUACACAACAUAUCAGGAUAACGUGUCAUUUUUUCCUUCAAAAGGGGUAAUGCCUUUGUAUCUGUUGAUAAACAAUCAAAAUAUCCCUCCUUCCCUUUUCUUCCCAAAGAGUUUCAAAGUACCACUCCAUGAGAAAUUGAGAAAUGCACUUAUUUUCUCCGAGAAAGUGAGAAGACAGAGGCCUUGAUAUAGAGAUAUGGAAGACAACAAAACUCUUUUGCCCAAAGAGAAAUGGAGGUAAAGAUGUAGUUUCAGAAAACGUCUAAAGACAGAAUAGAUUUUAAUCCAGGUGAAUAAUCUGACUCACCUCUAACAUAUCUGAUGCCAAAGAUAUUUACCCAAAUUCUCAUGCUCUAUGUGAAGGCUUUCCAGUAAAACUCUAUGGAAAAGAAAUUGGCACCAAGGCUCUUCUAGCCCUCUGAGUGGCACGUUUUGAAUUCUAUAAACCAAUUCAUUCCUUUGCUUCCCUCCGUCCCUUUCCCCUUUCCCUAAAUGUGUAUUCUUAGCUGAAGAAGAAGUCAGAGCCAGUUAUUGUACACAAAUCAUCUCCUGGCUGAAGUUUUUGGUGGCAGUCAAGAGAGGAGAAGGGAAAAAAAAUUAGAAAAAUUUCAAUUUCAGGACCAUUAUUAUUUUCAUUAAUCAUAAGAGGUGCUGUCACCCUGUCCUGAUUCUUUAGAAGGAGAUCUAUUAUACGGUCCAUUUAGUCCAAGCCAUAUUACCUCAUAUGUUUUCCUGGCUGACCAAAUAAGACUUAAGAGAUAAAACAAUUUACUGUUCAUUAUGAUCCGUGUCACUGGAAUCAAUCUAUUAACCUACAUUAACUGGAUAUGUGACGAUAUCUCACAUACACGCUUCCUCAGUUUAAAGGAAAGCCAAGGGAAUGGGGAGGGGGCAGAGAGAGUAAGGGGAAAGGAGAGGGAAGGAAAUCAGGGCCCAUAAAGUGCAGCAGACGUAUAAUUUGCCAAGCGAAUACAACUUCAUUUUCCAGUGCCCACUGCUGCGCCCUCCACAUCUUCACGCAGCCCCUGACCUGUAAAGAAGUCUAACAAAUUGGCUUCUAUUGUGGAGCCAAAAGGUGCCAUCAAAGAAGAGACGGUUCGCUGGUCCUAAAGUACGAUAGGAAAUCUCAGGCUGGAAUAAAGAGCUGCCGUUUUAUGAAGUUAACCCAUUCAGGUUAAAAGCAAGCAGGAAGCUCCGGCUGGUGGGGCAGCAGUGCCAGGAGGACGGAAUCCCUCCAACCCUCUCUCUCAAACACUCAGGGAAGACGGCCCCAGGUGAAGCAAGCACCAUGUGAAGUUAAGAUAAAAAUAAUCACCACCUUCCUAUUUUAAGCAAUAAAAAUUCCCCUCCUGUGUCUCUGGACAGCCCCUCUGUUUCACUCUUUCUCUCCUGUUUCUCUCUCUCUCUCUCUCUCUUUCUCCAUGGAUUAAAGAUCAUAAGCAUCUCCAGAAAUCAAUCAAUCAAUCAAUCAAGGAUGCAAACCUGUAUAAAAAACUUCAGUGUAAACAGUAGAGAGAUUAGGGCGGUGUGUGCCACCAAAAUGUGACUCCAGUGUCCCUUCAUUGUGCAUUUGCACAUGUGGUAAGAGCUCAUCUGGGCACUGGUUUGUAUGCUGUAAAUUUUCCUCUGAGACUCCAGAGCUCUCUUCAUUGCUGUCUCCAGACCACAGGCAGAUCCCUUUGCACAGCACGUGUGUUACCAAUCCACAGCAUCCCUGCUGCCGAGGAGUGUG